rnacentral:rRNA from 1 species
UACGUAGGGUGCAAGCGUUAAUCGGAAUUACUGGGCGUAAAGCGUGCGCAGGCGGUUGUGUAAGACAGAUGUGAAAUCCCCGGGCUCAACCUGGGAAUUGCAUUCGAGACUGCGUAGCUAGGGUGCGGAAGAGGGAAGCGGAAUUUCCGGUGUAGCGGUGAAAUGCGUAGAUAUCAAGAGGAACACCUGCGGCGAAGGCGGGUUGCUGGGCCGACACUGACGCUGAUGCGCGAAAGCUAGGGGAGCGAACGGG